UUGGUGUAUCUGGAAAGGGAGAAAUGAAUUGGUUUUCAAGCAGAUUCGACGAAGCCCGCAAGAUAUUUUAGGGGAGGUAAAGUCGAGGGGUUAUGGGUGGAUUAAAAAUAGAUCUUCUUGUAUAGAUAUUAGUUGGAUGGAUUGGUGUAAAUACCCGAUGUAUAUGCUGUAAUUGUUUGCCCUUU